rnacentral:rRNA from 1 species
CCUACGGGAGGCAGCAGUAGGGAAUCUUCCGCAAUGGGCGCAAGCCUGACGGAGCAACGCCGCGUGAGUGACGAAGGUCUUCGGAUCGUAAAGCUCUGUUGCCAAGGAAGAAAAGCGGAUAGAAGGAAAGCUAUUCGUGUGACGGUACUUGAGAAGAAAGCCCCGGCUAACUACGUGCCAGCAGCCGCGGUAAUACGUAGGGGGCAAGCGUUGUCCGGAAUUAUUGGGCGUAAAGCGCGCGCAGGCGGUUUGUUAAGUCUGAUGUGAAAGGCAAGGGCUCAACCCUUGUUAGCAUUGGAAACUGACAGACUGGAGUGCAGCAGAGGAAAGUGGAAUUCCACGUGUAGCGGUGAAAUGCGUAGAGAUGUGGAGGAACACCAGUGGCGAAGGCGACUUUCUGGGCUGUAACUGACGCUGAGGCGCGAAAGCGUGGGGAGCAAACAGGAUUAGAUACCCUAGUAGUC